UGAAGAGGGGCAGGGAGAGAGGUGGGGAGCUCUGCUUCAGCUGUGGGCACAGGAGGCAGGACUCAGGGAUGACCUCCACCAUGGCCUGGGCCCCUCUCCUCCUCACACUCCUGGCUCACUGCACAGGAUCCUGGGCCCAGUCUGUGCUGGCUCAGCCGGCCUCAGUGUCGGGGUCCCUGGGCCAGACGGUCACCAUCUCCUGCACUGGAAGCAGCACCAACAUUGGGGCUAAUAGUGUGAACUGGUACCAGCAGCUCCCAGGGAAGACCCCCAGAACCGUCAUCUAUUAUACUAAUAGCAGACCCUCAGACAUUCCGGACCGAUUCUCUGGCUCCAAGUCUGGCAACUCAGCCACCCUGACCAUCACGGGGCUGCAGGCUGAGGACGAGGCCCUUUAUCACUGUCAGUCCUAUGAUGACAAUCCUGGUGCUCACACAGUGCCCCAGGCCUGUGGGGAAGUGAGACAAAAACCCGCUGAGCCGCUGCAGUGGGUCACGGGCAGCGCCAUCCUCUGA